GAUGAACGCUGGCGGCGUGCCUAAUACAUGCAAGUCGAGCGAACGGACCAGGAGCUUGCUUCUCUGUUGUUAGCCGCGGACGGGUGAGUAACACGUGGAUAACCUCCUUAUAAGACUGGGAUAACUUCGGGAAACCGGAGCUUAUACCGGAUAAUAUUUUGCACCGCAUGGUUCAAAAGUGAAAGACGGUCUUGCUGUCACUUAUAGCUGGAUCCGCGCUGCAUUAGCUAGUUGGUAAGGUAACGGCUUACCAAGGCUACGAUGCGUAGCCGACCUGAGAGGGGGAUCGGCCACACGGGAACUGGGACACGGUCCAGACUCCUACGGGAGGCAGCAGUAGGGAAUCUUCCGCAAUGGGCGAAAGCCUGACGGAGCAACGCCGCGUGAGUGAUGAAGGUCUUCGGAUCGUAAAACUCUGUUAUUAGGGAAGAACAUAUGUGUAAGUAACUGUGCACAUCUUGACGGUACCUAAUCAGAAAGCCACGGCUAACUACGUG
rnacentral:rRNA from 1 species